AUAUCUUAAUAUUGUUAAAAAAUUUGAAGAUAGACGGAGUCUAACAAGAUUUCGCAUAUCUGCUCACCAUUUACUUAUAUAGAGAGAGGUAGAUAUAGUAAUACUCCCCGACACAAUAGAAUUUGUAAGAGAUGUUGUAGUAAUGAGGUCGAAGAUGAAACACAUUUUCUUUUCAACUGUGAUAGUUUAUCGGACCAAAGGAAAGACAUGAUAACAAUGAUAAAUAAUUGCUGCAAGAAUUUUAAAAAUCUUGACCUUAACCAAAAACUGAUAUGGUUAAUGAAUAAUGAAGAUGAGAAUUUAUUAUCAGAAUUAUGCAUGUUCAUUAAGAAAUAUGAAAAGUGUUAAUGGGAUUUAUUUCCCUCUACUACUUGUAAUUUGAACUUUAUAUUUUCUCUAUAGUGAGUUCUAGAGCACCGUCCCUUGAUGAAUAUUGCCCAGUAGCAAUGUCAACCCUUGCUGCUGUGCAUUAAUCAUGAGGAGAAUCACUAUUGGAGUUAUCUCAUAUAUCUGUAGCUAGUUCUGAAGGAUCUCCCCUUGAUGACCUUUGCAUUGUUGUGAUGUAAAAGUCCCUCACUGCUGUGCACUUGUCAUGAGGAGAACUACUGCAAAAUGAGACACUAUAUUCCUGGUUCUAUUUUUACUUUUUGUUUCCGUAUUAAUAAACUUUAUAUCAUAUUCUUUUAAUAUUAAAUCGACCUCGUUGCACUCAAUGCCUC
rnacentral:lncRNA from 1 species